GCCAGGCCCGCUGCCUUCAGACACAGAGACAGACCUGGAGGUGCCCCGGACUCUGACAGGCCUGGGCCUGUUGGGGUCCACUGCUGCUGGAGAGUAGGGGCGAUCUAGGCCUGCAGUGGGCUCGGGGCCCUGGUCCGGGCCGCGUUCUCCGGGCAGAGGCCCUUCAUAUGGCAGCCUGGUGGCACUGCACCCUGCCUGGGCACGGUGUGUGGUGUGCACAGCCCAGAGUGUGUGCGGAGGCCCCUGCUGGCCCACCUGACCUCCCCUGGGCCUCCCUGGGGUCCCUGCUCCGGCCCCGAGGGAGGAGGCAGUUGGCCUCGCCUGUCACUCAGGCUGACCCUGCCUGCCCGCCCGGAUCUGGUUUCCUGACGCCUGGCGCCCGCGGGCAGAGGAGCUGGGGCAGUGGGCCUGGCCCCUUCCUGCGGCUGACCGCUCCCUUUUCUGCUGGAUUAUUGCAAGGGUUCUGGGAGGUGGUGGAGGAUCUGGGGGUCUGGUGGACGGCCUUGUUCAUGGCCUGGCUCUGCCUCUUUCUGAUGGGGUGACCUUGUGCCCCUUCACCCCUGAGCCUCUGUUCUCACCUGGAAAGUGGAGCCCACGUGACCCCCAUCAACGCCAGGAUGGGGCACAUGGUCAUGGGGCCAUGUAGCAUUGGGGGUCCCCCAGGGGCACAGAGAGAGUCAGCCCACCUCCACUCGCCUCCGGGAUGCCAAAGUUUUGUCCUUGUUGCCGGCGGGGCGGGACUGGUGGAUCUGAGCAGGGCAG